rnacentral:rRNA from 1 species
UACGUAGGGGGCAAGCGUUGUCCGGAAUCAUUGGGCGUAAAGCGCGUGUAGGCGGCCCGAUAAGUCCGCUGUGAAAGUCCAGGGCUCAACCCUGGGAUGCCGGUGGAUACUGGCGGGCUCGAGUCCGGAAGAGGCGAGUGGAAUUCCUGGUGUAGCGGUGAAAUGCGCAGAUAUCAGGAGGAACACCGGUGGCGAAGGCGGGUCUCUGGGCCGUAACUGACGCUGAGGAGCGAAAGCGUGGGGAGCGAACAGG